rnacentral:rRNA from 1 species
UACGGAGGGGGCAAGCGUUGUUCGGAGUUACUGGGCGUAAAGCGCAUGUAGGUGGAUGUAUAAGUCAGGAGUCAAAGGCGUCGGCUCAACCGGCGUACGGCUUUUGAAACUAUAUGUCUAGAGUGUCGGAGAGGAAUAUGGAAUUCCCAGUGUAGCGGUGAAAUGCGUAGAUAUUGGGAGGAACACCAGUAGCGAAGGCGAUAUUCUGGCCGAUAACUGACACUGAGAUGCGAGAGCAUGGGUAGCAAACAGGAUUAGAUACCCUGGUAGUCCAUGCUGUAAACGAUGGACGCUAGGUGUUGGGGUUUUAAAGCCUCAGUGCCGAAGCAAACGCGUUAAGCGUCCCGCCUGGGGAGUACGACCGCAAGGUUGAA